GGGUUUUUGCUGGAAAUCAGGUAAGGGGGAGAAAAGGCUAACAAUUAGGUGUAAAGCAUGUGGGGUAGAUGGAGGAACCCUUAACCUCCUUAGGAUUGGGUGUUCUAAAUCUAAAUUCUGAUUUUCAUGUUAUAAUUGUUGAUUGUAUGAUGAAAGUUGUGUGGCUUUUGUAUAUCCUAUGCAUGCAUAUGUUUUAUUUUGAUGUUAUUGAUAAUGUGAUGCCACUGAUUGAUGUUUGAAAGUUUUUACCUUGGUUGUGUUAUUGGUGAUUUAGAGAUGAU
rnacentral:lncRNA from 1 species